rnacentral:rRNA from 1 species
UAGGGAAUAUUGGUUAAUGUGCGAAAGCGCGAACCAGCAACGCCGCGUGUGCGAUGAAGGCCUUCGGGUCGUAAAGCACUUUUUGCAGGGACGAGGAAGGACGGUACCUGCAGAAUAAGUCUCGGCUAACUACGUGCCAGCAGCCGCGGUAAAACGUAGGAGACGAGCGUUAUCCGGAUUUACUGGGCGUAAAGCGCGUGCAGGCGGCAUGGCAAGUUGGAUGUGAAAGCUCCCGGCUUAACUGGGAGAGGUCGUUCAAUACUGCCAGGCUUGAGAGUGGUGGAGGGAAGCGGAAUUCCGGGUGUAGUGGUGAAAUGCGUAGAUAUCCGGAGGAACACCAGUGGCGAAAGCGGCUUCCUGGCCCAUUUCUGACGCUCAGACGCGAAAGCCAGGGUAGCAAACGG